GUGUGUGUGUGUGUGUGUUCAGGGAACAGUUAAAAUGACAAAUUCUUACAGACUGGUUUGAUGGAAGCAAAAACCUACAUAGAACUCCUACGCUUUUAACACAAAACAAUUAUUACAGUCAAGAAAUUGGGCUUGAAGGCUAAUACUCCAUUUGUAUUUCAUACAUUUGUGCCUUUUAAAAACAGUUUUGCAUGACUACAGUCUAGAGGUUUGGGCCUCUAAUGUGGGUUUACAUAUUUUCCAGGACAUCACUUGAACUAAUUAGUACAAAUCAGAGGUCAGAUCUGUGGGAGACUCUUUUGCGGUACAGCAUUGCAUUAUAUGGCAUUUCUUUAUUCUACUGUCCAUGUAUUCUGAUUUUUUAAAAAUAUUUUCAUUAAAUAAAUAUUUUUGCAAGUAGGAGGAAUUUAAAUGAAAUCCCUCUCCGUGAAAUAUGUAUAUUGCUAAUUGACCAGUUUCUUCCUGGAAGAUAUUCCUGCUUUUUAGAAUAAUCAGCACAUUUGUGCUUCCCAUAUGUAGCUCUCAAACCAUUUUAUGAAUUCAGUAAGCAUUAUUAUCCCCAUUUUAUUGAUGGGGAAAUGGAGACAUAUAGAGAUUGUGCCUUGCCCAAGGUCAUACAGAAGGAGAGUAGCAAAGUUGGGAAUAGAAUCCAGGUUUUCUGGAUCCUAAUAUGGUAUCUAUCCACUGCACCAUGUUGUUUUCUCAGGCAAAUAAAAAGAUUUCCUGUUUUAUUAUGGCCUUAAGUUUAGUGAUGUUUAACAUAUCUAUCAUUUCCCCAGAUACUCUUUGAUUGUAACUGAGAACAUUUUAGCCUGUUGCUUGUAUUGAUUUUUGGUGAGGAAAUAGCACAGCCUGCUCCAUUUCAAACUGAAUUUCAAGGGCAUAAAGAUUGUUAGAAUGGAGACGCUACUUAGCUCAACGAGCUUGUUCCCUUUAUUUUUAGCUCAGCUAGGCAUAGAAAGAGCCCAAAGGUUCCAGCCCUUAUUUUCCAUGUUCUGGAUGGAAUCCUGAUUACUUCUGAUGCUGGAGGAACGGGGAAGAAAAAAAUAAUGUGCUGUAUAAACAAUCAAGUAAUGGGCUACGCUCAUGCUAGUGAUAUCUGCGAACAUGACAAGUACACUCUGCCACCCUAACUUGGCUUUAUCCUGGCUCCUCACUACUGCACCACUUUCGGGGCAGCUCCAUUAUUGAGAGUGUGAUUAAAGCUGAAUACAGUGUUCCAUUGUGGGUCUAAACAGUGCUUUCUAAAGCACCAGCCUCCUUUCUUUUGAUUUGAAGUCUCCCCAGCUCCUGAUGCAUUUCAGUGUUUUCUGCCUUUUUUAUUUUUAGAUUUUUUUUUUUUAACUGCAGCCGUGUAUUAGGCUGAUGGCCCUCAGGAAUUCUCCACAAUCACUCUUACAGCUUCUUCCUUGUCAGCAUGCUGCACAAUUGUUCCAUUUUAAUCGGUGUCCCUUGGUUUGGUCAGUUGCUCCUAGGUGUGUUAAUUUACAUUUAUCGACAUUAAUGUACAUUUCCCAUUCAUUGGCCUAGUCACCUGAUCGUUGUUCUAUUGAUGGUCAUCAUGGCGUCUGAUCCAAAAUACCCUGAAGUCAAGGGAAAGACUCCCACUGACUCCCUUGAGCUUUGGAUCAGGCCACGAGGGUGAAAUUCUCAUCAAUUGUGCAAAGGCUGAGUGAGAGGCUUUGUGUGGGUCCCCUAUAUAUGGGCAGUGAAGGAAGGAAAGUUCACUCUUCCCAACCCACAAAGCAUCCCCUAGCUAUUCCUAGCUGCUAUUAUAGCUCACAGGAAGCAGUAAAUGCCACAACCUGCUUUGUUUCCUCUCUACAAGGGUUUGGGCAGCAGCUGCGAGAGUUGCACUGAUCUCUAGUUUGCCCACGUACCCCAUACUCUGCAGCCAUGGCACAAGUCUCCACCAAGCGCUAAUACAGGUGCAGAGUCCCCCCGCUGCCUGUCCCUCACUCUGUGUAGCAGAACCAUGCCAGUUCUACUGUGUUUCAGGCCUCUUGGGCUGUGAAAAGGGAGGCGAGGGUUCCCAAUUAAAGCUACGGCUUGUUAUGGCCAAUGAACUCUGGAAAGAGAGCGAGGAGAAAUGAAUUAUAAGCAGUUUCCACAUUAGGUGAAUUGCUCCUAUCCCUUCAGAAUUCCAGCCGCUUCCAGGGGAGGGUGAGCCGGCCAAUUCUGUCCCACUCUGCGGCCCUGGGAAGCACCAUCCUGUGACAUUGGACCUACUGACGAGCUGUCUGGUAGGGUUGGAUAAGUGGUAGCUUAAUUGGUAUAAGCCUAGUUCUUAGUUUUGUUUUUUUUAUUUUUUUUUAUAUCCCACAGAGCAUAAGACUUCUCAACACUGCACUCACUAUAUGGUUUAAAAAAACAAAACAAAAAAACCUGCCUUUUACCUGACCACCUACCAGCCAGCUCUUCGACCUGUGGAAUCAUUGAUAGCUGUCACAUGACAGAAUGAUGCAUUUUGGGGUGUCAGAGUAGCUGAUGGUGGCUUCCAGAAGUUGGGGGAGAUAUGAAAAUAAAAAUGGCAUGUGUAAAAUUUAAUUGGGUACCUAAUACUCGUUUGCUCCUGGUACUUUGGGGCACCCAGGACACACACUUAUUUUUUUUUUCCAUUGUGGUUGAAAUGUUUGCAGGCUAUGUUUCAAAAAUGAAUGUAAAUGUCAUCUGGACAAUACUUUUUCCACUCUAAAGGCAGACAGUCUUUAUCGUUCAACAGGAAGAGCAGCUCUAGGCUCGAUUUCCAUUAGCUGUGUUAGAGUUGGGAUAUGCUGAGUUUUUUAACUCUUGUGGUGACACUCAAGAAAACUUGGAAAGUGAAAGAGUACCAGAAAGAUGGUAAGAAGAGCAACACUAUUGUGGAAUUCAAGAUCCUGGAACUCCUCAGCAAAUGGGGAUUGGAGCAGGGCCAGGGUCCAGAUAUUGAUCACACAGCAGACCGUGUUAACAUAGGCAAUAUGGACAAAGAGAAAAAUGUUCCACUGUAGCCAUCCCUCUUGCCUCUAGUACUAAUAAACCAGAGAUGUAAAUGUCUAUAGAAGUAGGGUCUCAAAUCCAGUGGCAGAAAAUUAUGGCUAAUUUCUAGUCAAAUGAUAUAAUUUUGCCCAGUUUCCUUAGGAGCUUUGCAGAGGACAGAAAUGUGAACUAAACAGUUUCCAUUUUUUCUUUGCCUAAGGAUGAAACUGUUCUCUAUGGAAUGUACCAUAAGUCGUUCGAGAGCAAGCAAGAAAUGAAAUGGAGUUAUGUCUUGCACACUGCACUCAGCAGAGAUCCCCAAAUGGAAAAAAAAUAAGAACCUCUGAAUUUCUUCAGUUCUCACACGGCAUAUUCUACCAGAAGUUCUGAAAACAUUUAUUAAUUAUACUCCGAGAUACCCCUGGAGGGUGUUGCUUUGAAACACCUUUGAGAGUUGGUGAAGAAGGUGCCAUAUGAACAGACAUUCUGGAAUGAAAAGAGGAGGAGGACAUCUGAAAUUCUGACACAGGAGGAGGAGGACCACAGUUAUGAUGGUAGAGAUCUUGAAGAGCAUGAUGGGGAUGAAGACAGGGCCAAAAAGA